UCAAGCGAACAAGGGCGCAGGGCGAAUGCCUUGGCACUGGGAGCCGAUGAAAGACGUGAUAAGCUGCGAUAAGCUUCGGGGAGCUGCAAAUAAGCAUUGAUCCGGAGAUUUCUGAAUGAGGAAACUCACUUGGGUUCAUACCUGAGUACGUUGUACUGAAAUUCAAAAUAGGUACAUCGGGGGAACCGCCUGAACUGAAACAUCUAAGUAGGGCGAGGAAGAGACAUCAAACGAGAUUCCGUAAGUAGUGGCGAGCGAACGCGGAAGAGGGCAAACCGAAGGUAGAAAUACCUUCGGGGUACGGACUGCUUUUAGGACUCGAUCUGUUAACCGAACGGCAUGGGAAGGCCGGUCAGAGAGUGUGAGAACCACGUAGGUGAAAACGGAAAGAGCUGCGCAGAUUCCAGAGUACGGCCAGACACGUGAAACCUGGUCGGAAGAUGGGGGGACCACCCUCCAACCCUAAAUACUACCCAGUGACCGAUAGCGUAUAGUACUGUGAAGGAAAGGUGAAAAGCACCCCGGGAGGGGAGUGAAAAAGAACCUGAAACCCUGUGCCUACAAGCACCUAGAGCACGUCAAUGUGUGAUAGGGUACUUUUUGUAGAACGGUCCGGCGAGCGAUUGUAUGCAGCAAGGUUAAGGACUUAAGGUCUGGAGCCGAAGCGAAAGCGAGUUUGAAAAGGGCGUUAAGUUGCAUAUAAUGGGCCCGAAACCGGGUGACCUACCCAUGGUCAGGUUGAAGUGGAAGUAAAAUUCCAUGGAGGACCGAACCGACCUCCGUUGAAAAGGCGGCGGAUGAACUGUGGGUAGCGGAGAAAUUCCAAUCGAACCCGGAGAUAGCUGGUUCUCCCCGAAAUAGUUUUAGGACUAGCCUCAAGUUAGAUACCUGGAGGUAAAGCACUGAAUAGCCUAGCGGCCGAGAGGUUAGCGAAGCUUAUCAAACUCAGAAUGCCAGAGUAUUGAUGCUUGGGAGUCAGACAGUGUCAGAUAAAUGUCAUUGUCAAAAGGGAAACAGCCCAGAUCUACAGCUAAGGUCCCAAAGUCAGGUUAAGUGGAAAACGAUGUGAAGAUACGCAGACAACCAGGAUGUUGGCUCAGAAGCAGCCACUCAUUCAAAGAGUGCGUAAUAGCUCACUGGUCGAGCGUCUUUGCGCGGAGAAUUUAACGGGGCUAAACCUGACACCGAAGCUUAGGCAAUCCAGUAAUGGAUUGGGUAGGGGAGCGUUGUAUACGCGGAGAAACAGUAGCGUAAGCGGCUGUGGAGUGUAUAGAAGUGAGAAUGCCGGAAUGAGUAGCGCGAAUGCAGUGAGAAUCUGCAUGGCCGAAAGCCUCAGGUUUUUGGAGGAAGGUUCGUCCGCUCCAAGUUAGUCGGGAGCUAAGGUGAGGCCGGAAGGCGUAGCCGAUGCACAGACGGUAGAGAUUCCGUCACCACCAAAAGAGUUAAGCACAGGGACACAUUUGAAGUCUCAGAGCCGGGUGUUGGUUCCGGUAGAGAUCGAGGGAAAUUAGUACCGAAGUCUGAGAUGGAAGAUGGCGAGAAAAGCUGUGUGUAUUUCUGAGGUGCCCGUACCGCAAACCGACACAGGUAGGUAGGAAGAAGAUUCUAAGGCCAACGGGAGAAGGGUUGUUAAGGAACUCGGCAAGUUGACCCCGUAACUUCGGAAUAAGGGGUGCUCACGAGAGUGAGCCGCAGAGAAUAGGCCCAGGCAACUGUUUACCAAAAACACAGGUUUGUGCUAAAUCGAAAGAUGACGUAUACGAGCUGACGCCUGCCCGGUGCUGGAAGGUUAAGAGGAGAUGUGCAAGCAUUGAAUCGAAGCCCCAGUGAACGGCGGCCGUAACUAUAACGGUCCUAAGGUAGCGAAAUUCCUUGUCAGGUAAG
rnacentral:rRNA from 1 species